AUUGAACGCUGGCGGCAUGCCUUACACAUGCAAGUCGAACGGCAGCACGGGGCAACCUGGUGGCGAGUGGCGAACGGGUGAGUAAUGCAUCGGAACGUACCUUUCAGUGGGGGAUAACGUAGCGAAAGUUACGCUAAUACCGCAUAUUCUGUGAGCAGGAAAGCAGGGGAUCGCAAGACCUUGCGCUGAUUGAGCGGCCGAUGUCAGAUUAGCUAGUUGGUGAGGUAAAGGCUCACCAAGGCGACGAUCUGUAGCGGGUCUGAGAGGAUGAUCCGCCACACUGGAACUGAGAGACGGGCCAGACUCCUACGGGAGGCAGCAGUGGGGAAGUUUGGACAAUGGGGGCAACCCUGAUCCAGCCAUGCCGGGUGAGUGAAGAAGGCCUUCGGGUUGUAAAGCUCUUUCGGCCGGGAAGAAAUCGCACGGGCUAAUACCCUGUGUGGAUGACGGUACCGGAAUAAGAAGCACCGGCUAACUACGUGCCAGCCGCCGCGGUAAAAC
rnacentral:rRNA from 1 species